CAGAUUGAACGCUGGCGGCAGGCCUAACACAUGCAAGUCGAGCGGCAGCACGGGUACUUGUACCUGGUGGCGAGCGGCGGACGGGUGAGUAAUGCCUAGGAAUCUGCCUGGUAGUGGGGGAUAACGCUCGGAAACGGACGCUAAUACCGCAUACGUCCUACGGGAGAAAGCAGGGGACCUUCGGGCCUUGCGCUAUCAGAUGAGCCUAGGUCGGAUUAGCUAGUUGGUGAGGUAAUGGCUCACCAAGGCGACGAUCCGUAACUGGUCUGAGAGGAUGAUCAGUCACACUGGAACUGAGACACGGUCCAGACUCCUACGGGAGGCAGCAGUGGGGAAUAUUGGACAAUGGGCGAAAGCCUGAUCCAGCCAUGCCGCGUGUGUGAAGAAGGUCUUCGGAUUGUAAAGCACUUUAAGUNNNAGGAAGGGCAGUAAAUUAAUACUUG
rnacentral:rRNA from 1 species